AACGAACGCUGGCGGCAGGCUUAACACAUGCAAGUCGAACGAGAUCUUCGGAUCUAGUGGCAGACGGGUGAGGAACACGUGGGAACAUCCCUUUCAGUUCGGAAUAACGUUGGGAAACUAACGCUAAUACCGGAUACGUCCUUCGGGAGCAAGAUUUAUCGCUGAAAGAUUGGCCCGCGUCUGAUUAGCUAGUUGGUGAGGUAAUGGCGCACCAAGGCUACGAUCAGUAGCUGAUCUGAGAGGAUGAUCAGCCACAUUGGGGCUGAGACACGGCCCAAACUCCUACGGGAGGCAGCAGUGGGGAAUAUUGGACAAUGGGCGCAAGCCUGAUCCAGCCAUGCCGCGUGAGUGAUGACGGCCUUCGGGUUGUAAAGCUCUUUUGUCCGGGAAGAUAAUGACUGUACCGGAAGAAUAAGCCCCGGCAAACUUCGUGCCAGCCGCCGCCGUAA
rnacentral:rRNA from 1 species